ensembl:lncRNA
CGGAAGCGAGUCAGCUUCCCAGUCAUGCCACGGAAUCUCACCUCCAGAAGCCUCCAGCACAGGGGUGGUCCCCUGGCACCCAGGACGUCUACUGCCCUUCCUGACCCCCAUGGGGCCACCCUCUCGGGUCUCGCACCCACCACCACCACCACCCAGAGCCACAACAACUGACCCAGGAGAACACUCUCCCGCAGCAUACUGGAGCCUCCACAGCCCUCAUGUGCAACUUGCUGUGCUCAGCUUACUCCUCUUGGGGACUGAGGGCACUUCUCUGCCUGGGGACGCCACCUGCCACGGAGGCCAGGGAAUGACACCCACGAGCACUGGAGUGGCGAGCACCCAAGAGGAGAUACCCUACAUCCAAGGUCAGUAACAGUGGCCAGGUGGAGAUACCCCACGUACAACAUCAGAAGCAGUGGCUGUGCUUUACUGGAGCAGCCGUGAAGAGAUACCCCACGUCCAAGCCACUGCAGAUGGCUGCUGCGCUAGGACACCAGAAGGCUACAUGGCAGAUAAUGAAGAUUCAGAGCAGGAGAGCAAGAAUAUGGAGAUGUCAGAUAACUCUCUGGUCAUCUUUUUGAAGAAUGUCAAAAAUGUCGUCAGUGAUGAUGAAGAAGACCAUGAAGAGCAAGUGUGAACACUGGACCUGGGCUGAAAAGGCUCUGCUCUCAAUCCCUGAAGACCUGGACCCCAGAGGGGAUGGAGCCCCCACAACACCAGGAGCCUCAUCUGGACCAGAUCAAGGGAGACAUCACUGCUUCUCUCCUGAGGGUCCUCAUUUAGUACAGCUUCAGAUGUUUUGUUGUAUAGAUUUAGCAUUAGUUUUAUCUACAGUUUAAUCUAUAUGUUCUAUAUUUUUUUUCAUUAAAAUUUUAAAUCUAUUUGUUACUUUUAAAAUCAUUUUUUAUAAAAACACACAUGUAUAGAAUAGCACCCUCAGGAGAACUGAGGUGGCCAGUCCAUGCCCACCGAGAUGAAUAUGCAAAAGCCCUUUCUUGAAAGCCCUUCUGACCUCAUCAUUCCAGCAGCAGUGCCUCUCUUGGACUGGCCCGUCUCUCCCUUGAGGUGUCCUUUCUGUUCUUUCUUUAAUAAACUUGUUUUUGCCACUAGUAAGACCUCAGAUUCUUCUUUGUUUCCUUAUCAAGAACCAAGGCCCACAAAGGAGGAUGCCCUUCAACCCUUCUAAAAAUCUGGUAACGAUACCAAUAAGUGAUAGACCUCAACCUGAGGCUGUCAAGUAUAUUGGAUGUCUGGGUUUCCAUCAGGAGCUCUUUAAAUAUAUGCUGAU